rnacentral:rRNA from 1 species
CUUUAUUGGAGAGUUUGAUCCUGGCUCAGGAUGAACGCUGGCGGCGUGCCUAAUACAUGCAAGUCGCGCGAA